rnacentral:rRNA from 1 species
GAUUAACGCUAGCGGCAGGCAUAAUACAUGCAAGUUGAACGGGAUUAGUUUAGCAAUAGACUAUGAGAGUGGCGCACCGGUGCGUAACACGUAUGCAACCUGCCCUUGACUGGAGAAUAGCCUCUCGAAAGAGAGAUUAAUGUUCCAUAACAUAAUGAUAGAGCAUUCUAUUAUUAUCAAAGCUCCGGCGGUCAAGGAUGGGCAUGCGGUUGAUUAGCUAGUUGGUGAGGUAACGGCUCACCAAGGCGACGAUCAAUAGGGGUUCUGAGAGGAUGUCCCCCCACACUGGUACUGAGAUACGGACCAGACUCCUACGGGAGGCAGCAGUAGGGAAUAUUGGUCAAUGGAGGCAACUCUGAACCAGCCAUGCCGCGUGCAGGAAGACUGCCCUAUGGGUUGUAAACUGCUUUUGUACGGGAAGAAACCUUCGAAUGCGUUCGAAGUUGACGGUACCGUGAGAAUAAGGAUCGGCUAACUUCGUGCCAGCAGCCGCGGUAAUAC